rnacentral:tRNA from 2 species
AGGGGCGGUCCAAACAACAAGAGCUGCUAACUCCUGUAUCCGAGCCUGAAACCUCGGCCCCCUU